rnacentral:rRNA from 1 species
GCGAGUAAUGUCGGGAACUCCAGGAAGACUGCCGGUGAUAAUCCGGAGGAAGGUGGGCACGACGUCAAGUCAUCAGGGCCCUUACGAGUAGUGCUACACACAGGCUACAAUGGCGCAUACAGAAGGCAGCCAACUUGCUAAAGUGACCGAAUCCCAAAAAGUACGUCGUGGUCCGGAUUGGAGUCUGCAACUCGACUCCAUGAAGUCGGAAUCGCUAGUAAUCGUGGAUC